CGGACGGGUGAGUAACACGUGGAUAACUUACCUAUAAGACUGGGAUAACUUCGGGAAACCGGAGCUAAUACCGGAUAAUAUAUUGAACCGCAUGGUUCAAUAGUGAAAGACGGUUUUGCUGUCACUUAUAGAUGGAUCCGCGCCGCAUUAGCUAGUUGGUAAGGUAACGGCUUACCAAGGCAACGAUGCGUAGCCGACCUGAGAGGGUGAUCGGCCACACUGGAACUGAGACACGGUCCAGACUCCUACGGGAGGCAGCAGCG
rnacentral:rRNA from 1 species